rnacentral:rRNA from 1 species
AUAAUACUCCAUAGUUCAUGGAAUCUGGAAUGAUCCAUGGAUGAAAGUUCCGGCGCUUAAGGAUCGGUCUGCGGCCUAUCAGGUAGUAGUGGGUGUAAAGUACCUACUAGCCUAUGACGGGUAUGGGCCUUGAGAGAGGGAGCCCAGAGUUGGAUUCUGAGACACGAAUCCAGGCCCUACGGGGCGCAGCAGUCGCGAAAACUUCACACUGGGGGCAACCCCGAUGAGGGAAUUCCUAGUGCUAGCUCUUUUUGAGUUAGCUUUUCUUUAGCGUAGAUAACUAAAGGAAUAAGGGCUGGGUAAGACGGGUGCCAGCCGCCGCGGUAAUACCUGCAGCCCAAGUGGUGGCCGAUAGUAUUGAGUCUAAAACGUUCGUAGCCGGUCUGAUAAAUCUUUGGGUAAAUCGGGAAGCUUAACUUUCCGACUUCCGAGGAGACUGUCAGACUUGGGACCGGGAGAGGCUAGAGGUACUUCUGGGGUAGGGGUAAAAUCCUGUAAUCCUAGAAGGACCACCGGUGGCGAAGGCGUCUAGCUAGAACGGAUCCGACGGUGAGGGACGAAGCCCUGGGGCGCAAACGGGAUUAGAUACCCCGGUAGUCCAGGGUGUAAACGCUGCAGACUUGGUGU